GACAUGGCUCAGGAUGAACGCUAGCGGCAGGCUUAACACAUGCAAGUCGAGGGGCAGCAUAAUGGAUAGCAAUAUCUAUGGUGGCGACCGGCGCACGGGUGCGUAACGCGUAUGCAACCUACCUUUAACAGGGGGGAUAACACUGAGAAAUUGGUACUAAUACCCCAUAACAUCAUGAGAGGCAUCUUUUAUGGUUGAAAAAUUCCGAUGGUUAGAGAUGGGCAUGCGUUGUA
rnacentral:rRNA from 1 species